GCUCAUAGGGCCAUGAAAGUAGAGAAGAAACUCUUGAAAAAAGAAGUUUGUCACAACAAAUUUUCCAAAUCUUCAAGAGAUGUUUUUUACAAAUCCUCAUCAUCAAAGGAUAAAGCCAAGGAUGUUUCUAGGGAGCUCACUAACAAAUCUUGUCUUCCUUCUUAUUCUAACCAUUCCUCCUGAUACGCGGGGCCCAAGCCCAAUAAAUAAAGUCCACCAAAGAAUGAUAAAGAAGUAAUUUUACAUAAAGGAGGGGUGAGCUUAGCAAGCAAGGGGGCUGCAUCAUGAAUUCAAUUACAACACACCUUCAUCUUUUGCAUCUGUUCCACGUGUAAAUCUAGAAGUUUAAAUUUUCAGCACAUUUAUCACAUAUACCCCCACGUGGCUAUAGAUCCACAUUUCAUGGAACUUGUGCUGACUGCAAAGCACACCAUAGGCAUGAGAUGCUAUCUAUAAAUCCCAUUUGCCUCUUCUGUAAAAUUACUUUUGGAAUUAGAUAGAAUUGAAAUGCUGAUGUACUUUCCAGCCUUUUCUCCACCAAGAGUCAAU
rnacentral:lncRNA from 1 species